GGUUUGAUCAUGGCUCAGAUUGAACGCUGGCGGGAUGUUUACACAUGCAAGUCGAAGGCACGGACUUCGGUCUGGUGGCGAGUGGCGAACGGGUGAGUAAUGUAUCGGAACGUCAACAUAGCGGGGAUAAUCGUCGAACGUAGCUAAUACCGUAUACGCCCUUCGCUGGGGAAAGGGGUCCGUCGGCCUCGCACUAUUAGAGCGGCCGAUAUCGGAUUAGCUAGUUGGUGGGGUAACGGCUCACCAAGGCGACGAUCCGUAGCUGGUUUGAGAGGACGACCAGCCACACUGGGACCGAGACACGGCCCAGACUCCUACGGAGGCAGCAGUGGGGAAUUUUGACAAUGAAGAAACCCGAUUCAGGCCAUCCUGCGGGCAGAUGAAGGCCUUCGGGUUAAAGCACUCCCUUUGGCAGGAAGAAACGGCACGGGAUAAUACCCCGGUGCAACUGACGGUACCUGCAGAAUAAGCACGGCUAACUACGUGCCAGCAGCCGCGGUAAUACGUAGGGCAGAAGCGUUAAUCGGAAUUACUGGGCGUAAAGCGUGCGCAGGCGGUUCGGGAAAGAAAGAUGUGAAAUCCCAGAGCUUAUCUGAACUGCAUUUUAAUUACCGGAGCUAGAGUGUGGGUCAGGAGGGAGGUGGAAUCUGCGUGUAGCAGUGAAAUGCGUAGAUAUGCGGAGGAACACCGAUGGCGAAGGCAGCCUCCUGGGAUAACACUGACGCUCAUGCACGAAAGCGUGGGGAGCAAACAGGAUUAGACCCUGGUAGUCCACGCCCUUAAACGAUGUCAACUAGCUGCCGGGGCCUUCGCUCCUGGUAGCGCAGCUAACGCGUGAAGUUGACCGCCUGGGGAGUACGGUCGCAAGAUUAAAACUCAAAGGAAUUGACGGGGAUCACUAGCGGGAAGAUAUGGAUUAAUUCGAUGCAACGCGAAAAACCUUACCUACCCUUGACAUGUCUGAAUCCCGAAGAGAUUUGGGGGUGCUCGCAAGAGAACCGGAACACAGGUGCUGGGCUAUUGCCGUCAGCUCGUGUCGAGAUGUUGGGUUAAGUCCCGCAACGAGCGGCAACCCUGUCAUUAGUUGCUACGAAAGGGCAAUUUAAUGAGACUGCCGGUGACAAACCGGGAGGAAGGUGGGGAUGACGUCAAUCCCUUUACUGGUCCCGAGUGGCGGGCUUCACACGGUCAUACAAUGGUCGGGACAGAGGUGGUCACAACCCGCGAGGGGGAGCCAAUCCUGCGAAACCCGAUCGUAGUCCGGAUCGCAGUCUGCAACCGACUGCGUGAAGUCGGAAUCGCUAGUAAUCGCGGAUCAGCAUGUUUCGAAUACGUUCCCGGGUCUUGUACACACCGCCCGUCACACCAUGGGGAGUGGGUUUUACCAGAAGUAGUUAGCUCAACCGUAAGGAGGGCGAUUACCACGUAGAAAGAUUCAUGACUGGGGUGAAGUCGUAACAAGGUAG
rnacentral:rRNA from 1 species